ACUUUAAUCAACUUGUUCACCUACCUGCCGGGCUGUUCAAAACCACAACCAAAUUACAAAAGCUAGAUUUGUGGGGUAAUAAACUUGUUGACCUACCUGCCGGGCUGUUUGACGCGACAACCGAAUUGGAAAACCUAGAUUUGGACAAUAAUCAACUCGUUCACCUACCUGACGGGCUGUUCAAAGCCACAACCAAAUUAGAAGAACUGUA